rnacentral:rRNA from 1 species
GGAGGGGGCGAGCGUUAUUCGGAAUUAUUGGGCGUAAAGGGCAGGCAGGCGGCUUUGUGUGUCCCUCGUGAAAGCCCUCGGCUCAACCGAGGAAUUGCGGGGGAAACUGCAGAGCUUGAGUCCGGGAGAGGGUAGUGGAAUUCCCAGUGUAGCGGUGAAAUGCGUAGAUAUUGGGAGGAACACCAGUGGCGAAGGCGGCUACCUGGACCGGUACUGACGCUGAUCUGCGAAAGCCAGGGGAGCGAACGGGAUUAGAUACCCCGGGUAGUCCUGGCCGUAAACGAUGAACACUUGGUGUGGCGGGUAUCGACCCCCCUGCCCGUGCCGAAGCUAACGCAUUAAGUGUUCCGCCUGGGGAGUACGGUCGCAAGGCUG